GGCUCUAGAUAUUUAGCGAUUAUCGUGGUGCUGUUAUUCGCUCCUCCCCACUCUUCAAACCGCAGCUAAGCAUGCCCUACUAGGUCCAUUAGUAAAGACACUCGUCCUAUUCUUCCACUUGAUGCCCACGAGGACAGAUUUUGAGUGACGGGAAGACGAUACAUACAGGCAAAUCUUUCACUUACGCGCGAGAGGUAUAUCACUGCGAAAUCGGCACACCGACGAGAAAGAGAGUAAGCGAAGUGUAAAAGAACUCUUUACAUUUCCAUAGACAAGCGAGUGGUGAGAUUCAUUAUUGUAUCUAUAUACAAACGAAGCGAGCGAGAGAUGAGCCGCGUGUCCAAUCUUUGGAGGACACCAUUCCUUAUUGUAUCGAAUCCAUCAACCAGGGUUUUUAAGCCGCAAAGUCUUUUCCUGACAAGCCAAUGAACUUAUCACAAUCGCCACAGAACUCCAUGUUGGAGAAUUCUACACCCAAUACACAUACUAUAUGCAAUCUACUCUGCUAACUUACCUACCUCAGAGGAAGUAACUACGGCAAUAUUUGCGGACUAUACAGCUUUGUAAUCAUCGGACUGCGAUCUCUUCAACGCGACUGAUAUGCUUCAACGUCAUUUGCGAAUAAUAGAAAGUUGAUGUCACAAAAAUGGCGUGUAAAUAUAAAUAAAAGUAAAUCGGCGCAUAUAACCAUCACGCUGCGUAAGAUCACAUAUUCUCCUGUGACCAUAAAUGGAGCAGCUAUAUCAACCAAAGAUACGGUCAAAUACCUAAUAACAUUAUAGAUUCUGAGGGGUACAAUUCACGUUGUGUUAUCCCUUCACUGGUGGUGCGAACCACGCUACUCCGGAACAUUUUGUAUUUACGUUUCCCAAGGAUAGUUUAGGAAUGGAUGUGACUUUAGAUCUCCGUUAUCGUGUAAGAGCUCAAUGAUGGAUAGAACGUAUUUUCUGAGAUGUACACAGUGAAAUGCAUAUGCUGUUACAUAUGUACGGAAUAUGUAAUAAAAUUAACGCAUAUGCAUUAUACGGAAAUUAUGCAAAAUAACAAACACAUUUUCGAUAAAUAUAAAUGAUGUAAUAAACUUCUGUCCAAAUUCAAAA
rnacentral:lncRNA from 1 species